ACGAAAUAUAUAAGAUAUAAUAUGAGACAAUUCUCGCUUGAUAUUCUUGACCUCUAUAACUUCUGAUCAAUGAUUGGAUGCCUCUCUUCAAAAAUCAUUGACCUUCCCUUGCUUAGGUUUCAUGUAUAUAUGUGUAUGCAUGAACAUGAACGCCCUACUGCAGAGGCCAUGAAGAUAAGGGGUUGGGGGAAUCUUGUCGCAGGAGCGGUGGCACCUGCCGGCCGAUUCAUCGGAAAAGUGCCAGCGUCCUUUGACAAGACUCCCUGCUACUUCUUUGCUCGAACAUUCAUGUCAUCGAUCUCUUCUAUGGAUUGUUUCUUCAGAUAAAUUCGUGCGUGGGGCAGGGCUAUGAAGUGACUAGAUUUACAGUCCCUUCCCACACCACGUCACCGGACUGAGCCUGCAGUGGGUGGAUCUGGGUUGUGAGUAACUUGGUCUACUCUGUGGGUUUGAAUAGAAGCCAAAGAUAAUGGACUAGUCCGUUAUGAAAGUUUUAUAAAUUUUGGGCCAGCACUGCUUUAUUAUAUUCAGACUCAUGCUUAUACAGUGAAAUUCAGCAGUCAUCGAAAGUAUAAGAAAUCUAUAUUUUAUUCAAGAAAACAUUUUCUCGAAAAAUAUUUUUGGUAUUUUUUAGUAUUUGAUGCCAGUAUUUUAGUAUUCAAGAAGUGUGGUCCUUGACUUUGUCAAACUAGAUGUCGUUUUGACAUGAAUUAUUAUUAAAUGCAAGUUGAAGAGAUGGUUGGCUGUUUGAUUCAAAAAAAAAAAAAAAAAGAUGGUUGGCUGUCAUGAAGAUAAUGAGAAUCAAUGGCUUCAACUUACUAUUUGUAUUUAAGUUCCAUUCAUCAAUCUGAUGAUGUCAAUGUAUGAGAUCAUAUAUACGUAUCUGAAAAUGACUCUUAUGUUUUAUAUUCAGCCUC